GGCUUGCUCUCAUGCUUUCUUGUCCUUCUGCCUUCUGCCAUGGGAUGACACAGCAAGAAGCCCCUUGCCAGAUGUGGGCCUCUCGACCUUGGACUUCUUAGCUUCCAGAACUAGGAGCCAUUGAAGAAUACUGUUGUCCUAUCCCAGAAGGAGCAAGCGGACAACACUGAUAUCCUGACCACUAACCAUCCAGCACCACUUAAAGAGGUCCCAAAACCCCCGGCUGUCUACCAAUACCCAUCUGUGACCUCUUAGGAACCGAGCUUCACAGCAGGAGGUGAAUGGUGGACAAGCGAGCAUUAUCGCCUCAGCUCCACCUCCUGUCAGUUUUAAAAAGAAUAACAGAAAGAAAGAAGUGGCUGAAACCUAAAUGCCAUAUGGAGAAGACAGCUAAUUGCCACACUCUCCUCUUUGGUCUUUCCUGGUACGCAGCAUACAAGCCCACAGAUUGAGGACUCUGCACUUGCUGUUCUCUCUGCCUGGAGCUCUAUGGCUCCAGAUAGACUCCUGCCAACUCCUUCGCCUUGUCCAAGUUACCUUCAUUAAAUGUCAGCUUAAAUGUGUGCCUACUUUUUGCCCUACCUAGAAUUGCAAGCACCUCUCACCACUGUGCUCCCAUUCUCCUUAACUUAAGCCACUUUUAUUCUCAUAAUAAAGCCACAUAUUUUUUCUUAUUAUAUCAUAAUCGUACUGUAUAAUUUAUAUUUUAUUACUUUUGUUUGUAUACUUAUUGUAUGUUUCUGUUC
rnacentral:lncRNA from 1 species